AUGUGGGGCACUGCCCUCCCUGGCUCUGCCUGGGGCCCCAGCCUGCUCUGCUGUGUCACUGUCUUUCUCCUGGGAACAAGUUCAGCAAGUCCCGGGGUCAUCCAGUCUCCAAGACACAUUAUCAAAGCAAAGGGAGGAAGGUCCAUUCUCAAAUGUAUUCCCAUCUCUGGACAUGACACUGUGGGCUGGUACCAGCAGACUCUGGGACAGGAACUGAAGUUUCUCAUUCAGCAUUUUGAAAAAACAGAAAGAGCAAAAGGAAACAUCCCCAACCGAUUCUCAGUGAAGCAGUUCAGUGACUAUCACUCUGAGAUGAACAUGAGCGCCUUGCAGCUGGAGGACUCUGCUCUGUACUUCUGUGCCAGCUCACCACAGCCUCACAGAGUGACUGGCUUUCUGUCCCUUAAUCUUCCUGCUCUUGUUGGUGAUGUACUAAAGAAGGUGGUGAAAUACUACACAGCUGCCUUAACCAAGGUAUAA